CUCAGGCGGCCCGUUCUCCGCCCGUGAUUGUGCCGGGUCCCCAAUCCCAUUCGCCCAUGCCGCGGCCACGCCGCCCUGGGGGGCUAUGGAUCAUAUUGGAGCCACCGCCUCUAGUCUCUCGGCGGCCGUCAGGACGCGAUUGGUCCGCGGAGAGCAGAGAGGCGGAAAACCCGGGCUGGAUUUCUGGUGGCUUUUGUUCCCGCAAAUUUACGUGGAGCAUUGUUUUUGGGCGAAAACGGGGCCUUCGGCCUUCCUGCUUUAUUCCUGAGCGGUGUAAGAGGGAGGUAGUGGGUAUCUUCGAGAAACGGCCGCCGCGGGGUCCGGAGCCCCGGGUUCCAAUCCCGGGUCGGCCACUGCUAAGCUGUGUGACCUUGGGAUAUGAUCCAAGGUGCUGAAAACUUCCUAACAAAACUCUUCAGCCGAAUCUGGCACGCCUAUGGUUCCAGCUACUGGGUAGACUGAGGCAGGAGGAUCGCUUGAGGCCAAGAGUUCAAGGCCAACCUGGGCAACAUGGUGAGACCCCCCCCUCCCCCCCAGUCUCUCCAAAACAAACAAACCCCACAUUCUCCAGUCUUAGGUCUUCAAGGAUGAACAGACAUUGCAGAAAGGCACGGUUGGGAACAGAAAAAAAUGAUCUCCACUCCCCCAGCCCCCUCCACACCUUGGGCACAUUUCCCUGGAGCCGCCCGAGUGUUCUUUGUCAGUGUAGGAAGAAGCAAAAAUCUAAAUGGAGUCAGGAUGGCCUCCCACAUGGGCACAAGGACAAGGCUGGGGACAGUUGGGUCUCCUCAUCUUAUUUCCCAGGUCUAGGCUGAUUUCUAUUAAUAAUUAAAUUAAUCGUUGUUCUCCUGGACCUCACUUCUUAAUGUGAUUCCAGGAAACUGGCCACAUUCCAAAAUUCAUAAUCUAAGGUAGUGAAAUAACGUGAGCAUCAAGACAGUUUGGCUGGGCUCAGAGGCUCACAUCUGUAAUCCCAGUACUUUGGGAGGCCGAGGGUAGAUCCCUUGAGCCCAGGAGUUCGAGACCAGCCUGGGCAACAUGGCGAAAUCCCAUCUCUACAAAAAAUACAAAAAUUAGCCAGAUGUGGUGGCAUGUGCCUGUAGUCCCAGUUACUUGGGAGACUGCGGUGGAAGGAUUGCCUGAGCCCAGGAAAGGGAGGUUGCGGUGAAUGGGGAUCCCACCACUGCACUCCAGCCUGGGUGACAGCGUAAGACUCUGUCUCAAAAACAAAAGAUUCAUUUCUUAUUGAUAAAGCAAGCUCCUUGGAGAAAGAUCUUGGAACCUCAUUGGGAGUGGAGGUGGGGCUUCUUCAAUCCAGCCGAGCUGGCUGUGAAACCCCCAGGGUUUGGUACCAAGUGAGCUCCAGUCCCAGCUGUGGCUGACUGUGUGAACUUGGCUAUGCAUUCAAGGGCCUCUGAGCCUCAGUUUCCUCAUCUGUAGAAGAGAGCCAGGAACCCGUCAUCCUGGCUAGCAGUGGAAGUCAAAGGUGCUCAUGGAAAGAAUGUCCUUGCUGGCUGGAACAAGGGAGGCCUGAGCUGUGGAAGUCCUUGGAUCAAGGUCCUCCCCACUUCCCGCUGCCUUUUUGGUCCUUCUUGCGUGCUCUUUGUGAUUUAAUGGCUUAGUAGGUUGAAUCAUGUCCCCCCAAAGUUUAUCUCUACCCCAAAUCUCAGAAUGUGACCUUAUUUGGAAAAAGAGUCUUUGCAGAUAAUUAAGGUAAGAGUCAAGAUAAAAUCACACUGAAUUAUGGUGAGCCCUACAUGCAAUGAGACAGUCCUUACAAGAUACAGAAAAGAACACAUAGAGACUUCGGGGGAAAGGAGACUAUGUGCAAGGAUGGCAGAGAUUGGAGCCGAGGGGUGCCUGGGCCUACCAGAGGCUGCAAGAGACAGGGAGGACCCUCCCCUAGAGCCUCCAGGGGGAACAGCCCUGCCCACACCUUGACUUUGGACUCCUGGCCUCCAGAACUGUGAGAGGACCUAGGACCCUACGAGAGGAGGGAUCUGGAGGCCAGGACAGGAGCAGGACAACACAAACAGAGGCCUCAGAAGAAGACUCAGAGUGGGACAGGGGUUCCUUAAGUGACGGGGGCUGGAAGUGCACAGAGAAGCCUGGUGCAGCAGGGAAUUUUCUCUCCCUGGGGUGCUGCCAAGGUAUGUGUGGUCUCCAGCUGCGACAUGUGCUUCCUUCCCUUGGCCUGAGUCCUGCUUUCCUGUGAUUGAGAAGGUUUGGGACCUGACACCCUGAGCAUGGAGGCCAUAAAUCCAGUGGAUCCCUAAACUUCCUGACGGGGUCCUGGCUCCAGGCCUCGGUUCCUGACAGCCUCGUGUAAUUGACAAAACCCCAUGGGGCUGUUUCUGAUACUGCUAUCAAAAUUCCCAUCAUGCAGAUACUGAAUGGUCAAGGGCUUCGGCCCGUGCCACACAGUUAGUUCAUGUUGGAAUUGGAUUCUGCCCUAAGUCAAUUGCCCAUAUAGACUCUGCCCCUCCCAGGAGGAAACCACAAAUGUGACAUAUUGUUUAUUUGCUAUUUUUGCAAAGGUGUCUGUUGCUUGCCAGCUUUUCCAGCCAUGACUGCAGACAAAGUCCACCUAGAGUCAUAAAUGGGCAAUCAGCCCCGAACAACGUCCAGCCCCGGUUUCUGCACGGCGAGGCGUUUUUGUCCGUGGCAGACCUGCUUACCCGGGUGUCUUUGGUGUGGGGCUAGAUGCAGCAUUUCCCCAGUGGGAAUGGCCUGGGGUCUUAUUUAAAGUGGAGGGUCCUAGGCCUGGCCCCACGUAUGGAGUCAGGAUCCCUAGGGGUAGGACCUUGGAAUCCGCAUUUUUUUUGAGACAGGGUCUCACUCUGUCACCCAGGCAGUGGCACGAUCUCAGCUCUCUGAAACCUCCACCUCCUGGUUCAAGCGAUUCUCCUGCCUCGGCCUCCUGAGUAGCUGGUAUUACAGGCACGCACCACCAUGCCUGGCUAAUUUUCUAUGUUUUUAGUAGAGAUGGGGUUUCAUCAUGUUGGCCAGGCUGGUCUCCAACUCCUGACCUCAAGCCAUACACUGGCCUCGGCCUCCCUAAGUGCUGGGAUUACAGGUACGAGCCACCGUGCCUGGCCAGGAAUCUGCAUUUUUGCUAGUAACCCUGGUCAUCUCAGUGCACACCAAAGUUUGAAACCACUGUUGGGGUGUGGAGUUCUUGCUUCCAGACUUCCAGGGCCUAUGGAUUGAACAACAGCAGCCACAGUAGUAAUUAGAAUUUUCAGUCUGAACCACAAGCCUGCCAUGCAACAAGGGUUUCCUCCCGUUUUACAGAUGAGGGACCUGAGGCUUCAUAAGGCUGUUAUUGACCUGAGGUCGCACAGCUGAUGGCUCCUGGGUUCUUAGCGUUAAGUUUUGCAGCCUUAUUUCUGUUGUAUAUUUGUUUCUCAUCUUUCUGUGUUUAUUGCACUGCAAUUGUGAUAUCCUCUAAAAGCCAAGGAUGAACUCACUGCUGACCUUGGUUUUAUUCGUUUGUUUAUUUUCACCUUUUCUUGUGAAAUGUGCAAACAUACUCAAAAGUCAAGAGAAUCAUAUGGUGAUUUCUCAUAGUCCCCUUUGGCCAGCUUCAGCAAAGAUGACAUUUUGCCACUCUUAUUCCAUCCAUUUCUGUCACGCCACCCCUGACAUACACACAUGUUCUUUCUGGAGUAUUUUCAAGCAAAUACAGGAUUUUUAAAAACAUGUAAA
rnacentral:lncRNA from 10 species